rnacentral:misc_RNA from 1 species
GAUGAAGAACGUAGCGAACGUGCGAAACGUAAUGUGAAUUGCAGAAUUCAGUGAAUCAUCGAAUCUUUGAACGCAUCUUGCGCUCCUUGGUAUUCCGAGGAGCAUGCCUGUUUGAGUGUCGUGAAUACUCUCAACUUCAACCCUUUUUUCGGAAAGGGAGGAAGGUUGGACUUGGGUGUUUUUUGAAGUGCGAGCUUCGACUCAUCCUAAAUGCAUUAGCGAUCUGCCUCGAUCACACACAAUGUGAUAAUUAAAACUAAAGCAUUGUUUAAUGAUCAAGUCGAGACUGCUUCUAACUGUCGCAAGACAAUAACGUGCAUACAUUUGUGCAUGUCAUUUGACCUCAAAUCAGGUAGGACUACCCGCUGAACUUAAGCAUAUCAAUAAGCGGAGGA